rnacentral:rRNA from 1 species
CCUACGGGAGGCAGCAGUGGGGAAUAUUGGACAAUGGGGGGAACCCUGAUCCAGCCAUGCCGCGUGUGUGAAGAAGGCCCUCGGGUUGUAAAGCACCUUCAGUGAGGAAGAACGCCUGGUGGUUAAUACCCAUCAGGAAAGACAUCACUCACAGAAGAAGCACCGGCUAACUCCGUGCCAGCAGCCGCGGUAAUACGGAGGGUGCGAGCGUUAAUCGGAAUUACUGGGCGUAAAGCGCGCGUAGGUGGCUUGAUAAGCCGGUUGUGAAAGCCCCGGGCUCAACCUGGGAACGGCAUCCGGAACUGUCAAGCUAGAGUGCAGGAGAGGAAGGUAGAAUUCCCAGUGUAGCGGUGAAAUGCGUAGAGAUCGGGAGGAAUACCAGUGGCGAAGGCGGCCUUCUGGACUGACACUGACACUGAGGUGCGAAAGCGUGGGUAGCAAACAGGAUUAGAUACCCUAGUAGUC